rnacentral:rRNA from 1 species
GACGAACGCUGGCGGCGUGCCUAAUACAUGCAAGUCGAACGCAGGGGUGACGGGUGAGUAACACGUGGGUAACCUCCCCUAAGAGGGGAUAACCCUUGGAAACAGAUGCUAAACCGAUACUGAUGGAUGGACCCGCGGUGCAUUAGCUAGUUGGUGAGGUAACGGCUCACAAAGGCCACGAUGCGUAGCACGUUGGAGAGGAGGAUCAGACACACUGGGAUUGAGACAAGGCCCAGACUCCUACGGGAGGAAGGAGUGGGGAAUCUUCGGCAAUGGACGAAAGUCGGACCGAGCAACGCCGCGUGGGUGAAGAAGGUGUGCGGGUCGUAAAGCUCGGUUGGUAGAGAAGCGGUAUCUAACGAGGAAGCACCGGCUAACUACGUGCCAGCAGCCGCGGUAAUAC